AGGUGGGAGGCUUCAGGGGGGCGAACUCCUGGGCUGGGCGUAGGAAACCCGGUUGGGGGAACGGGGUCCCGGAUUCGGGGCACGUGCACAUGGGCGAAGGAGCUGUUGAAAAUACGGCCACAAUCUUUUUCUGCUCUCCUCCCAACUCAUACUGCCCCCUCCCUACCUUUGAACAGUCGCCUUCCAACACAAGCAACAAUAAAGAUCGCGAGUCAAAUGAAAGCAGUGGACCCUCUGCUAUGAAAAAUGCACGUGAGGACUAAGUUUUGCAUCUAAUUUCAAAGGAACCUGCUGACUCGGCGUCUACAGAAGCCACUUUCAUCUUGGAUGAAAGCUAUGGGGUGAAGUUUUUAUUGGAUAGUGAAAGGGACGAAGUUUGGUCUCGAGACUGCCGGCAGAAAGAUCCAUGGUGUUUCCAAACCGGAGUGAAAGGAAGAACAAAGCUGGGCUGCAGUAUGACAGAUGAUGGGCAUCUGUCCUCCUGGUUCCCGUGGGUAAGGGAGCACCCAGAGGGAGAUGCUCUGUGGCUGCCCUUACCCCCUUCUCCUCAAUAUCACUCAACUCCCCUGACUCUUUCCUACAUCUGGGUCCUCACCAUCACGCCAUCAGCCAGGCAUGUGCCGCAGUCAGCCCUGUGGGUGCAGCUGUCCCCCAGGGGGUGGCCCAGGGGGCUGCUUCUUCGCCUGGGCUCGCCUCCCCAUCUGCUGGCUGUCUCUCCUCACCCUGCCUCCAGCCUGCGCCUCUGGCCUCCUCCUCCUCCUCCUCGGACCCCAUCUCAUACCUCCUCUACUUUCCUGCUUUGGGGCUUGAAGUAGCCUUACAACCAAGAUCUGAAAGAGAAAGAAAGCCCAUCCUCACCCCCUUGUCAAAAGUUCUGGGGCACCUGGGGGGCUCAGUCGGUUAACCGUCUGACUUCGGCUCA